GCUGCUUGUCCCGUACCUUGGCUGGGUGGGUAGGUCUUGGAGCCUGCCAUCCAAAACCACCCCUGGGAAGCGCCCGCAACCCUUGGGGACGCCUCUCCUCCGGCUGCCCCCCUUCCCUGGAAUCCAGGUGUCACUGGGGCCGGGGAGGGGCUAGGAGCUCGGAUUUCUGCUUUGGGAAGUUUUUACAAGCCCACCCUCCCCCUGCCUUGGGUCCCGAGCCAAGAAUUUCAGAAAUCCGGGGCACAAAAACGCCAGUGUUUGCGGUCAAGGAUUAAAGGCGCGAGGUUGUCUUUAUUUAAUCUGCUCCGCCCUGCUCGGGUUUGCACGAAAAACCAAGCCUGGGAGCGACGGUCCACGCAAGCGGAGACACAGGACUGAUGUAGAAAACCAGGAAUCUGAUGCCUAGGAUCACAAUUUGAGAUGAUGACCAGCCCAUUAAGAUGGCCAUUUAUGACUUUGCCCUUGAAAUGUUCAUGCAGGGAACUAGAAGGGCUUUGCAAGGUCAGUACAGUAUCAUAGACUGAGCAAAAGUCUGAAGAAAGUCCAAAACUAGCACUCAAGCCUACCUCCACGGAAGACCUAAAAUAGAAGCAUGUUUUGUCAGCAGUACACAGCUGAAAACUAUAACUGAAUUCAUCUGCCUAGAAGCCCACCUCAAAUGCUGCCCUGGUUAAGAGAGCAAGAUAAGCUGGAGAAAGAAGGGAUUGGAGAAAAUCGUUUUGACACCCAGCUGUACCAUUUAUAUCCUGUUUUGUUUUGUUUAAUAAAGUAAUACUAACAAUCCUUGCCUUGUCAAUCUCACUGGGUCAGUGGGUCAUAGGACAUGAAAGGGCUUUGCAAACUCACCCUAGCUAUGCUAAAGAAAGAGAACAUUAUCAACAAGAAUGAAGAUAAUGUGUCCUGAUACAGUACUCAGUUCCAAACCAAACUUCAGAUUAGUGGGGCAGCCCUAUUCCCAAUUUUCUCUCAGGCAUAAGAUUUCAAUUGCCUAUGGAGUGUAAUUGGAUUGUAACUCAAAAAAUAAAUGCUUGAGGGGGAUAGAUACCCCAUUCUUCAUGAUAUGCUUAUUUCACAUUGCAUGCCUGUAACAAAAUAUGUACCCCAAAAUAUAUACACCUACUAUGUACCCGUAAAAAAUUAAAAAGAACAGAAUCACCUAUGAAUGUCACGAUGAGCCUUGAGUGCUUUAAUUAAUAACGCUAAGUCACGUUUAAAUGGCAAGAAAGAAUGUCCAAAACCCAAUCAUAGAAUUCAAACUAUAUUUUGGCGCUGACACUGUAUUUUCUAGCGUGAUGGACUACCAUUGACCAUGGGAAACAUCAGCAAAGAGAAAUAGCUACUGUAUAGCUAGUCCAACUUGUCUCUCUUGGUCAUUGUUAAUGUUUUAUGGUGGAGGGAUAGGGUCACAACCCUCAUUGAAACUCAUAAAAUCCAUGGACACUUGCCCCAGCACAACACAGAUACUGCAAAUUUCUGCACCAGUUCUUUAAGUUUCUUGUACCAAUCCUCUAAAAACCAUUUAUAGAUACCCCCACAAGCUUAGAUUAUCUUUCAGCUCCAUUUUUCAGUGAGUUUUAUCUCACCAUUCAGAUAACCUCUUUGAAGAUAGGGACUAAGUCCUUUAAAUAUAGGACCCUUUGUAGCAUCUAGUUCUGUUCUGGAUACAGAGUAAGCAUUCAGCACUUACUGGCUAAUUGGAACUUACAAAGAUGACCAGAAGAAAUGACCUGCAGACACUUAAUCAACGCUACUUGACAUGGAAAAAGUGGAGUUGCUGUUCGCACAAGGGCAGGAGAGAGGAGAGAGGACAAUUUGGUAUGGAGCUAUAGAAAGUAAGAUGUUUUCUGAAUCCAGGCUCUAGAUGUCCUGUGAGAAUGACAGAAGACACAGCAAGAGGGCCUAUUUUUGUUAUCCUAUCUCUGAAGUGUGGAAGAAACUGCUGGUCAGUCACCUUGUGGGUGGAGGGAACAUGGACAAAAUGUCAAUAAUUUAAAAUCUGUAAGGCAGCAUGAUAACUACAAAAUAAUGCAAAAAUUAAGGAGUUCCUAGUACUCUAUGCUUUAUGGAAGUAGCUGCUAUACCAUCUCUGAUGAUUGCUGCCAGUAUUGUCUAGAAUCAUGUAAGCAUGUAAAGAGAACUAUUACUUUCUUAUUCAUUAUUUUCCUGUAAAACAUGCAGAGCCAGGGGUCUAUUAUUAACUACCCCAUCUCCUGCCUCCC
rnacentral:lncRNA from 10 species